rnacentral:tRNA from 1 species
GCAGUUGUGGCUCAGUGGUAUAGUGCUUGCCUCGCACGCACGAGACCCUGGGUUCGAUCCUCAGCGCUACA